GUCUGGUGGGUAGUUUGACUGGGGCGGUCUCCUCCUAAAGAGUAACGGAGGAGCACGAAGGUUGGCUAAUCCUGGUCGGACAUCAGGAGGUUAGUGCAAUGGCAUAAGCCAGCUUGACUGCGAGCGUGACGGCGCGAGCAGGUGCGAAAGCAGGUCAUAGUGAUCCGGUGGUUCUGAAUGGAAGGGCCAUCGCUCAACGGAUAAAAGGUACUCCGGGGAUAACAGGCUGAUACCGCCCAAGAGUUCAUAUCGACGGCGGUGUUUGGCACCUCGAUGUCGGCUCAUCACAUCCUGGGGCUGAAGUAGGUCCCAAGGGUAUGGCUGUUCGCCAUUUAAAGUGGUACGCGAGCUGGGUUUAGAACGUCGUGAGACAGUUCGGUCCCUAUCUGCCGUGGGCGCUGGAGAACUGAGGGGGGCUGCUCCUAGUACGAGAGGACCGGAGUGGACGCAUCACUGGUGUUCGGGUUGUCAUGCCAAUGGCACUGCCCGGUAGCUAAAUGCGGAAGAGAUAAGUGCUGAAAGCAUCUAAGCACGAAACUUGCCCCGAGAUGAGUUCUCCCUGACCCUUUAAGGGUCCUGAAGGAACGUUGAAGACGACGACGUUGAUAGGCCGGGUGUGUAAGCGCAGCGAUGCGUUGAGCUAACCGGUACUAAUGAACCGUGAGGCUUAACCUUACAACGCCGAAG
rnacentral:rRNA from 1 species